GUGACCUGCGGAAGGAUCAUUG
rnacentral:rRNA from 8 species